AGAAACGAUAAGGUAAGUAGGUAGCCGACAAUAUUUUCCCUUAUAACAGAAGGCCUUCGUUGCAUUUCUACAUAAAAUUGAAUGUAAAAAAAAAACCAAACCUUUCUAUGUUAUUAUUAGCUACAAUGUACAAAAACAUCUCAAUGGGUGGCGGCCGCCGGCGCAGUGUAAUAAAGCUGAUGCUCAUCGGCUGCAUACUCAUCAGCUUGUUCCUCAUCUCAACAGUCUACCUUUCUCAGACCGCUCGCCAUCAUAAUGGCAUCCACGUCAGCAGCAGUCUCCGAGUCGUCGAUCUCCGGAACCCGAAGGCUGAUGAGGAAGUGAUUAAUGGUGUGGGUGUUGAGAAGAAGAAGAAGCAGGAGCGUGAAGGUGGGGAAGAAGAAGAGUUGCGAACAAUGGCGGAGACGGUGUUCUUCGGGGUCGAUGAAGUGGUCGAGCCAGUGAAGGUUCGUGCUCGCGGAAGCAUCUCCCCCGGAGCGCCUCAUGGUCGUAGCUGGUCUGAUUUGUUCAGCGUCGAUUGAUAUCGAUUUGUGUUCAAGUGAAGUAGGCUCAACUGAUAGAGUUAUGUUGUGAUAUGAAAAUGUCGGGUUCGAAUCUAGCGAAACCGAGCUGACAUUCAUGAUUGGUUUAUCAAAUCAUCUCACCAUCAGCCAAUCAAUUUAAUGUGAUUAUUGUUCUUUUUUUUAAAAAAAAAGAUAGCCUUUUGGAUUCUUUCCAAUUCUGUCGGUCGGAAUUAAAUAAAUGCUAUUCAUAUUUUUUCCUUCUGAUAUUGCAUUUUUUUAUGAGCAUAUAUGGAUGUCGGUGGAAAUAUCCAAACUUUUAUUGUUACCACGUACUCUAGCUAGUUGCAAAUAUUUUAAUAUAUAUACACCUGUGUAAUGUAGUUUUUCAUAUUUUGUUGUUGUUUUAUUUCGAAAAUAAAACAACAGGUCUGCAUGGGUUUCAUUUUAUUUCAAAGAUAGUAUUUUUAUUCGAGAA
rnacentral:lncRNA from 1 species